rnacentral:rRNA from 1 species
UAGUCCACACCGUAAACGAUGAGAGCUAGUUGUUGGUAUGUAUACAUAUCAGUGACACAGCUAACGCAUUAAGCUCUCCGCCUGGGGAGUACGGCCGCAAGGUUAAAACUCAAAGAAAUUGACGGGGGCCCGCACAAGCGGUGGAGCAUGUGGUUUAAUUCGACGCAACGCGCAGAACCUUACCUACGCUUGACAUGCCCUGUUUGGUUACCAGAGAUGGUAUCCUUCAUUUAGUUGGCAGGUGCACAGGUGCUGCAUGGCUGUCGUCAGCUCGUGUCGUGAGAUGUUGGGUUAAGUCCCGCAACGAGCGCAACCCUCAUCCUUAGUUGCCAGCAUGUUAUGAUGGGGACUCUAAGGAGACUACCUCCGCAAGGAGUGAGGAAGGCGGGGGAUGACGUCAAAUCAUCAUGGGCCCUUAGCCCAGGGGCGACACACGUGCUACAAUGGACGGUACAAUGGGGUANCGGACAUGGGCGACAUGAAGCCAA